AAUUGAUUACUUCGGUUUGAUUUUCCUGACGAUGAGCGGCGAACGGGUGCGUAACACGUGAGAAAUCUGCCCUUAAGUUCGGAAUAGCCCUACGAAAGUAGAAUUAAUACCGGAUGUGGCCCAGGGAGGGCAUCUUCCCCUGGCUAAAGCUCGGUUAUAGAGCGCUUUUGGAUGAUCUCGCGGUCUAUCAGCUUGUUGGUGAGGUAAUGGCUCACCAAGGCUUUGACGGAUAGCUGGUCUGAGAGGAUGAUCAGCCUCACUGGAACUGAGACACGGUCCAGACACCUACGGGUGGCAGCAGUCGAGAAUCAUUCACAAUGGGCGCAAGCCUGAUGGUGCGACGCCGCGUGGGGGAUGAAGGGCUUCGGUUCGUAAACCCCUGUCAUCUGUGAGUAAGACUCCCAAUAAAAGCUUGGGAGGUUGAUAUUAGCAGAAGAGGAAGGGACGGCUAACUC
rnacentral:rRNA from 1 species